rnacentral:rRNA from 1 species
CAGGACGAACGCUGGCGGCGUGCCUAAUACAUGCAAGUCGAACGGUCUUUCUAUGGAAGUUUGCUUCCACUGAGAAGAUAGUGGCGAACGGGUGAGUAACACGUGGGUAACCUGCCCAUAAGAGGGGGAUAACAUCCGGAAACGGGUGCUAAUACCGCAUAGUUUUCUUGAUCGCAUGAUCGGGAAAGGAAAGACGGCCUUUGUGCUGUCGCUUAUGGAUGGACCCGCGGCGUAUUAGUUAGUUGGUGAGGUAAUGGCUCACCAAGACGAUGAUACGUAGCCGACCUGAGAGGGUGAUCGGCCACAUUGGGACUGAGACACGGCCCAAACUCCUACGGGAGGCAGCAGUAGGGAAUCUUCCGCAAUGGACGAAAGUCUGACGGAGCAACGCCGCGUGAGUGAAGAAGGUUUUUCCGGAUCGUAAAACUCUGUUGUCAGAGAAGAACAAGUUGGAGAGUAACUGCUCCAGCCUUGACGGUAUCUGACCAGAAAGCCACGGCUAACUACGUGCCAGCAGCAGC